UGGGGGAUAUUGCACAAUGGGCGAAAGCCUGAUGCAGCGACGCCGCGUGGGGGAUGAAGGCCUUCGGGUUGUAAACUUCUUUUGCUCUGAACAAGGCGCACCAUGGGGUGUGUUGAGUGUAGGGGUUGAUUAGCGCCGGCUAACUACGUGCCAGCAGCCGCGGUAAUACGUAGGGCGCGAGCGUUGUCCGGAAUUAUUGGGCGUAAAGGGCUUGUAGGUGGCUGGUUGCGUCUGUCGGGAAAUGUCAUGGCUUAACUGUGGGUUUGCGGUGGAUACGGGCUGGCUUGAGUGCAGUAGGGGAGGCUGGACUUCCUGGUGUAGCGGUGCAAUGCGCAGAUGUCAGGCGGAAUACCAGUUGCGAAGGCGGGUCCCUGGUCUGUUACUGACACUGAGGAGCGAAAGCAUGGGGGGCGAACAGG
rnacentral:rRNA from 1 species